CCCGGGUCCCGGAGGGCGUCAGACCGCCAACUCCGUCAGGACCCCGAAGGUAGCAGCGGUACGUGGAUCCUGUCGUCGCUUCGUCAGGCCCGGGGCAC
rnacentral:SRP_RNA from 17 species